GGCAAUCUCAGGAGUUUCUUAGGAUAAUUUGGAGAUUUGAGUAAUUAACCCAAGACUCAUAGGAGGCUGUCUUUCGAAGGCGGGCAAUUUUGCUGUGGUGGAGUCGGCCGCUGUCAAGCAUUAACUUCUUCAUAAUGAAGCCUUUCAGACUCUCGGCUAUCAGCACAAAGAUGCACUUCAAGCUAGUGGCUUGGCGCAGUGACAUCUCCAUUUGGACCAGCCGUGUUUCAAGAGCCUGAAGCCACACGUGGCUAGGGUCUACCUGUCUUGAGCCGCCUUUCUGAAUGUCCUGAUUUACGGCAGGCGAUGUGCCAACCCUGCAGCUGCCCCUCUCUUUGGUUAGAGGCAGCCUCUGAGUGCAGAAACGUAGUGAAGGGGGUUGGUGUGCAGUUUCUGGGAGAACUGGAGGAAUCAGCCCCCUUCCACCUUCUUGGAGCCUCUGUGGCUGUUAGAACAAGGGCCAGCUCUGGGAUGACUGGGCCCCUCCAGUUGACAGAAGCAGCCCCACUUGUCCCCUCAGGCCAAGCUCCACACCCACACGCAGUGGCCCUGAUGCUCUCCUUCUUCUCCAGCUCUCUGUGGGCUCCCGGAGAAGGCUCUGGGCCGGGGGCACAGGGGACACGGGAGAGGCCGCCCCUACGGGCAGUUCUUGGGUGUGGGCACUUAGUGAGGUUAGCUGGGCCAGCCUGAGUGUUUCCGUCAGGAGGGAAGUGAGAGCAGGACCUUCAGGAGACUUGUCAUAGGGCGGCCCUGUGCCACAGGACACUGUCUAGACAGAGAAUGAUGUCCCCUGUGCUCAUCACCGCCAGGGUGAAAAAGGCAGGGAGGCGGUCUCCAGUUCUCAGCACCCUGGGCAGGGUGAGUUAUAUGUGUUUGCUCUGUUUUUCCCUCCUUCUAACGACAGGCCUCUCUGGUGCCGCAGGCUCAGUCUCUCUUUUACUUCAUAACCUUUUAGAUCAUGAAAAACUCACUCAUUGGCCAGCCUUUCAAGUGGAUUUUGGGGUUGCCUCUACCACCUUUGGUCUUACCGCUGGAAGGAGAGGGCUGCGGGAGAGCAAGUGCUCUAAUGGAUGAGGUCAGAUUCAAAGGACAGGAUGCAGGGCAGUGGCCUAGGGACCCGGGUGGUCUCCCUAGUGUCCUGGAUGUCUAAGGGUU
rnacentral:lncRNA from 1 species